rnacentral:rRNA from 1 species
CGUAGGUGGCAAGCGUUGUCCGGAUUUAUUGGGUUUAAAGGGUGCGUAGGCGGCCCUGUAAGUCAGUGGUGAAAUAUCUCAGCUUAACUGAGAGGGUGCCAUUGAUACUGCAGGGCUUGAGUACAGAUGAGGUAGGCGGAAUUGACGGUGUAGCGGUGAAAUGCAUAGAUAUCGUCAAGAACACCGAUAGCGAAGGCAGCUUACCAAGCUGUAACUGACGCUGAGGCACGAAAGUGUGGGGAUCAAACAGGAUUAGAUACCCUGGUAGUCCACACUGUAAACGUUGAUGACUCGAUGUUGGCGAUACACAGCCAGCGUCCAAGAGCAAUCGUCAAGUCAUCCACCUGGGGAGUACGCCGGCAACGGUG